rnacentral:rRNA from 1 species
AGUGAACGCUGGCGGUAGGCCUAACACAUGCAAGUCGAACGGCAGCACAGUAAGAGCUUGCUCUUACGGGUGGCGAGUGGCGGACGGGUGAGGAAUACAUCGGAAUCUACUUUUUCGUGGGGGAUAACGUAGGGAAACUUACGCUAAUACCGCAUACGACCUACGGGUGAAAGCAGGGGAUCUUCGGACCUUGCGCGAUUGAAUGAGCCGAUGUCGGAUUAGCUAGUUGGCGGGGUAAAGGCCCACCAAGGCGACGAUCCGUAGCUGGUCUGAGAGGAUGAUCAGCCAAACUGGAACUGAGACACGGUCCAGACUCCUACGGGAGGCAGCAGUGGGGAAUAUUGGACAAUGGGCGCAAGCCUGAUCAAGCCAUACCGCGUGGGUGAAGAAGGCCUUCGGGUUGUAAAGCCCUUUUGUUGGGAAAGAAAAGCAGCAGGUUAAUACCCCGCUGUUCUGACGGUACCCAAAGAAUAAGCACCGGCUAACUUCGUG